rnacentral:RNase_P_RNA from 1 species
GAACCGAAUUGCGUCGUCGCGCGGUAUGUCGCCGUAAGGUAUUACCGUGAGGAAAGUCCGGGCUUCAGAUGACCGGGAUAACGGAUAACGUCCGCCGUGGGCAACCACCGGGAAAGUGCAACAGAAAAUAACCGCCGCGCAAGCGGUAAGGAUGAAAAGGCGAGGUAAGAGCUCACCGGCAGUGCGGUAACGUACUGCAAGUGUAAACCCUAUCCGAAGCAACGCCCCGAUUUGAUAAUAUCACGCUUGGUCAGGCGGAUAAUCGGGGGGGCAUGGAUCUUUGCGGCAACGUAAAGACAAGAUAGAUGACGGCGCUCGACAGAACCCGGCUUACAGAUUCGGUUCAAUC